rnacentral:rRNA from 1 species
UGGGGAAUAUUGCACAAUGGGCGCAAGCCUGAUGCAGCCAUGCCGCGUGUGUGAAGAAGGCCUUCGGGUUGUAAAGCACUUUCAGCGAGGAGGAAGGUGGUGAACUUAAUACGUUCAUCAAUUGACGUUACUCGCAGAAGAAGCACCGGCUAACUCCGUGCCAGCAGCCGCGGUAAUACGGAGGGUGCAAGCGUUAAUCGGAAUUACUGGGCGUAAAGCGCACGCAGGCGGUUUGUUAAGUCAGAUGUGAAAUCCCCGGGCUCAACCUGGGAACUGCAUUUGAAACUGGCAAGCUAGAGUCUCGUAGAGGGGGUAGAAUUCCAGGUGUAGCGGUGAAAUGCGUAGAGAUCUGGAGGAGUACCGGUGGCGAAGGCGGCCCCCUGGACGAAGACUGA